GCUUUGGUUCAGUCGGUAGAGCGCUCGGUUCGCAUGCGCGGAGUCCCGGGUUCGAUCCCC
rnacentral:tRNA from 1 species